rnacentral:ncRNA from 1 species
UUUUGAUUAUUAUUUUUUAGAUUUAUAAUUUAUUUUAAUUUUAUAGUAUAUAAUUUUUAAAAAUUUAAGAAAUUUAAUUUAAGUAAUAAAAUUUAUUAUUAAUAAAAUUUUGUGCCAGCAAUUGCGGUUAAACAAAAAAUAAGUUUAAAUUAUUUAAAGAUAAAAAUAUAUAAAGAUUGUGAGUUAAAUUUUUAAUUGUAAAAUAUUAAAGUAGAAUUUUAUUUUAUAAUUUAAUAAUUAAAUUUUAAUUAUAAUAUUUAAAAAGAUUAUAAAAUAAACUAGGAUUAGAUACCCUAUUAUUAAAAUUUAAAUAAAAAAAAUUAUUUAAGUAUUUAAAGUUAUAUAAUUAUAUAAAACUUAAAAAAGAUGGCAGUAUUUUAAUCAAUUUAGAGGAACUUGUAUAAUAAUUGAUAAUCCACGAUUAAUUUAACUUAAAUUAAAAAUUUGUAUAUCGUUGUAAAAAAAAUAUUUAAUUAUAAAUAAAAAUAUUUGAUUAUUUUAAAAGAAAAAUAUUUCAAAUCAAGGUGCAGUUUAUAUUUAUAGAUUAUUAUGAGUUACAGUAAAUUUAAUUAUGGAAUUUAAUUUUAAAUAAAUUAGAUGAAAGUGGAUUUAAAAGUAAUUUAAAAAAUAUAUUUUAAAUGAUUAAAGUUUUAAAAUAUGUACAUAUUGCCCGUCACUUUCAAAAAUAAGAGAAUAAAUUAUUUUAUUUUUGAAAUAAGUCGUAACAAAGUAAAAAUAUAGGAAUAUGUUUUUAGAA